AAGUGUUAUUAUGAUACUGGUGACAUGGCGACUGGUAUCACCCAGAGGAAGACAUAUGAGGGUAGCAUAAUAAUAGAAACGCAUGAGGGAAAACACCUACGAAUUGAAGGAUGUGGAAAUGCAGUCUGCACUCCAGAUAUUCUCAUCAUUACAUUGGCGUAUGCUGUCUUUUUCUGCCUUGUUUUAAGAAUUAUGGAGGUCACUAAAAUAAUUUUAACCAAACCCAAACUGAAAAAUGAACUAAAUUCUACUAAAAGAAUUGCGCCAUCACAGGAAAAAAAAAUCUAAUCAAAUUUAGAUGUAUGUGCUGAUGCAAAAAACACAUCAGAAAAUAAUACUGACCCAUAUUGCCUUACAGCAUAUUAUGAAUUAUGCUUUAGGGCCAUCCUCUCCAGUUGGGGGUAAAAAUGUGUGCUGACUGAGAGGCACUUAAACCUAAAUUCACACAUCACACCUAACUGUAAGUGUUUAUUUCAUUGAGGCAAGGUGUCAGCCCCAUGAAACUGCACUGUAAGAUAAAAUGCUUGAAGGACACAGUGAUGUUAACUCUUCUCCAUGCCGUGAUGAUGAUUGCCUUACUAAAUCUGCCAACAACCUACAACAUCAGCUUCAUCCAAGCCCAAGUUUAUGCCUCCCAUGUAUUGUUAUUAACUAGCAUACAUUUCAAGGUAAACCCCACGUCUAGAAGGACAAUUUGGGCUUCCACUAUGAAUAUCAUUACAAUGAUGGAGGAAAUGUCAAAAGCAGCGUCGAUUACGGCUUUACAGCCAUAAACUUAACCUAUAAACUUUAACGGCUCCACCCUAUGGCAGAAACAUGAACACAAUAAAAAUACAAAUCCACUCUCAAGGACUAAAAAGCAAGAAGAAAGGUCUUUUCCACAUUAAUUGGUCAUGUUUGUAGCUGGAAUAUACUGUUUCUGGUAUUGUCUUCAUUUCAAAGUAAGCUGGCUGGGAGUUUCUGCUUUGUUUAUUUAUAUCACUGUCUUUUGCUACAUAAGUUAGUUAGCUAACUGUUAGCUAACAGUAGCUUCUCACGUAACGCUAGUUAAACCGAGACUCGAACGUUGAUCAACCUUAGCUAACUACGUUUGAGGCAUAGAGCUCUAGCCAAACUUUAAAAAGUUGUUUGAAAAGACUUACCAAUGUUUUGAAUACAUCAGCCGGUUCCUCACAUAUCUGUCCAUGUUGGAAAAAUAAUCCGUGGGUUGAACACAUAAGCCAUCUUCGUGUUUCUGUGACACUAAUCGGGGGCUGAAUGUUACCCUUGGGGCAGCUCUAGUUGGACUGAGGCUAGACCGGACACUGCAGUGACUCACUAUUGUCUCUCAAGGCACAGGUGGUAUUACAACACAGUGCCAUUGGCCUCCAGCAACAGUGUGCCUCCCAUGGUUGUCAUGGUAGUCCCUGGUUAAAGAAAGCAGUAUGGGAGCGAGCUCGCUAACAAGUCUGACUUUAGGCAUUCUCACUUUGCAAUUCAUUUACUUGAGAAACUGGGUCAGUAGUAGCACAUUAAAGAGUUGUCCUCCUGGCUUUGUCUCACAGAGGAACGUUCACUAGGAAGGAGCAGAAAGGAAGAAAAGGUUGUUUUUAGAUAUUCAAGGCUAGUAAUGUUGUUUGUUUCCUUCCUGUAGUGAAUUGGUAUAGAAUAAGAUACUGCUAAAAGACGGUAACAUAGUAGUGGCUAGGUUCACUAUCUAAAAAGGUUCAAAUCAAGGAUGUGGUAAAAUAAGUUUCUUUUCUCAAUCAAUAAGCGUCAGUUUUGUGUAACCAAUAAACUCGGGAUGAUUUGAAGAGUACUUGCUUAUUUUAUUAAAUCCUUGAAGUUACAAAUGAUGAGGAAUGCUUAUCAGCGCAUUCUGAAUAUAGAGACCCCAGCUACAAUGAACGAGUGCCAAAAUAUUCAAUAAAGAAUUGAGGGAUGAAAUUACGUAACCGGCUUAAUUCAGCAAUACACCUGUACUCAUGUCUAGUUAUUAAAUUGAAUGUUUUUAAUUUUGUGCUUUAUUGUAUUUUACUGUAUUCAGUUUAUCUUGACCUACCUUUUUAUCUCACUGUUUAAUUUCACUUUUUAACGUCUUAUUUUUGUAUUUCUGUGUUGCAAAUUAGCAUCCUAUAUAAAAACUGUUAUACUUGCAUCACA